GCACGGGUGGCGAAAUUGGCAUACGCGCCAGAUUUAGGUUCUGGUGUCUCAGACAUGUGGGUUCGAGUCCCACCCCGUGUACCA
rnacentral:tRNA from 1 species